AAUGAACGUUGGCGGCAUGGAUUAGGCAUGCAAGUCGAGCGAGAAGUGUAGCAAUACACGGAAAGCGGCGGAAGGGAGAGUAAUACGUGGGAAUCUGCCCUUAGACCUGGGAUAGCAACGGGAAACUGCUGGUAAUACCAGAUAAUGUCUAUGGACCAAAGGUGUGAUUCCGUCUAGGGAUGAGCCCACGUCCUAUUAGCUAGUUGGUAGGGUAAUGGCCUACCAAGGCGAUGAUGGGUAGCGGGUGUGAGAGCAUGACCCGCCUCACUGGGACUAGGACACUGCCCAGACACCUACGGGUGGCUGCAGUCGAGAAUCUUCGGCAAUGGGCGCAAGCCUGACCGAGCGAUGCCGCGUGCGGGAUGAAGGCCUUCGGGUUGUAAACCGCUGUCGAGGGGGAGCAACUUCCAUAGAGUUAUCUUUAUGGAUUGAGUGAUCCCUGGAGGAAGGACGGGCUAAGUUCGUGCCAGCCGCCGCCGUAAGAC
rnacentral:rRNA from 1 species